AGUGAACGCUGGCGGUAGGCCUAACACAUGCAAGUCGAACGGCAGCACAGUAAGAGCUUGCUCUUACGGGUGGCGAGUGGCGGACGGGUGAGGAAUACAUCGUAAUCUACUUUUUCGUGGGGGAUAACGUAGGGAAACUUACGCUAAUACCGCAUACGACCUACGGGUGAAAGCAGGGGAUCUUCGGACCUUGCGCGAUUGAAUGAGCCGAUGUCGGAUUAGCUAGUUGGCGGGGUAAAGGCCCACCAAGGCGACGAUCCGUAGCUGGUCUGAGAGGAUGAUCAGCCACACUGGAACUGAGACACGGUCCAGACUACUACGGGAGGCAGCAGUGGGGAAUAUUGGACAAUGGGCGCAAGCCUGAUCCAGCCAUACCGCGUGGGUGACGAAGGCCUUCGGGUUGUAAAGCCCUUUUGUUGGGAAAGAAAAGCAGCAGGUUAAUACCCCGCUGUUCUGACGGUACCCAAAGAAUAAGCACCGGCUAACUUCGUG
rnacentral:rRNA from 1 species